AUGGAGACAUGGCAUAAAGCCAGAGAGCGUGAGAGACAUUAACUCAUUAGACUGUAACUUGAACUGAUUCACAUCUCAUUUU
rfam:Loxodonta africana unplaced genomic scaffold scaffold_0, whole genome shotgun sequence.